rnacentral:rRNA from 1 species
UACAGAGGGUGCAAACGUUGUUCGGAAUUACUGGGCGUAAAGAGCCUGUAGGCGGUCCGGAAAGUCGGCUGUGAAAUCCCGCGGCUCAACCGUGGAAGUGCACUCGAAACUACCGGACUCGAGUCCCGGAGAGGAAGGCGGAAUGCUCGGUGUAGAGGUGAAAUUCGUAGAUAUCGAGCGGAACACCAGUGGCGAAGGCGGCCUUCUGGACGGUGACUGACGCUGAGACGCGAAAGCGUGGGGAGCAAACAGG